rnacentral:rRNA from 1 species
UACGGGGGGGGCAAGCGUUGUUCGGAAUUACUGGGCGUAAAGGGCGCGUAGGCGGUCAGACCAAGUCGAGUGUGAAAUUCCAGGGCUUAACUCUGGCACGCUCGCUCGAUACUGGUCGGCUAGAGUGUGGAAGAGGAUGCUGGAAUUCCCGGUGUAGCGGUGAAAUGCGUAGAGAUCCGGAGGAACACCAGUGGCGAAAGCGGCCACCUGGACUGUACCUGACGCUGAGGCGCGAAAGCUAGGGGAGCAAACGGG